GUUGAUCCAAAUGUUGGAUUAAGCAAGACUGGAAACGUUUUGCAAUCAUGAAGUGGUCACUUCUUUGUACCUCCCGCUUUUGAGGGUGUUCACGUCUUCAAAAUCACCGUUCCAAAAUUCCUGAAGCUUCGCUGGAAACUCGGCAUGCUGGUCCUUUGUUUAAGCCGGACUCCAUGGAUUUCUACAAUCUUGAACUCACCAAUACUAAUGUAAGUAUAUAUGCAACUACUUAAUUAUGAUCGACAUUUACUUUUAUCUAUGUGAAAUUACCAAUUUUGAUUCUCAUUCGUGUGAUUGUGCUUGGUGCAAGUUGUGUAUCAUACAACCCAUGAUUUCAAGAAGGAAAACACAAUUGUAUUUGUAAUAGUGCUCUGUCAAAUUUUUCCUGACCACAAUCAUAACAAACUUCUUUUUUAAAAUGAAUCAAGAAAUCCGAAAGUUUUUUUUUCUUCGGUUCAUGUAUUAUUUUUGUUUCCCUCUUAUUGCAUCUUUGAUUGAAUAAACCAGUUUCUAAUAAGGCCCUUUUUUUUGCCUAUUACCUGUUUGAUAAAAUGCCACAACUAAUGAAAAAAAAAUCUAAAGGUUAGCAGGUGGAGGAUAAAAUUAUACAACAUUCUUACCACAUAUUGGAGUUCUAUUAGCAUAUACAUAUCUUUUGGAGGAGGGAUUCGUGGGUUCAGGUGGAAGGUGCAAUUAAGAGGCUGAAGGUAUUAAUCUUUUACUUAUUCUCCUAAUUUUAAAUGGGUUUUGACCGUGUGAUAAAACAUGUUAAAGUGCAAUCCUGGAUUUGAAGUUCUCUACCAAACACCAUUCGCAUCAAAGUAAUUUCCUAUAUAGCAUGUUCCUUUCAUUUCUAUUUCGUUAAACCUUUUAGGUUUAUUUUAUUUUUUCUUAUUAAACUGUUGUAUUUUAAACGUACAUUACUAUAAUUUUAUUUGUAAUUUUUUGAUUCUUAGUUUCUUUAGUAUUUCUACAUAAUUUAUUUUAUUUUUACCUAAUUAAAGCAUGGUAUUGAAAGCACAAGGUUGUGAUUGGUGGUUGAUUUUAAAAUACAGUCAAUUUAACAUUUCUGAGUACGUAUGUUUGUUAUGUACACAAAACCGACUUAAUUUGGAAAUUAGAUGUUUGUCAAUUAUCCCCAGAUUCUUCAAAAAAAGGUACAUUCAUCAACUAUUGACUUAAAUUGAAAAUGUUAUUGACCUGCUUGAGUUUCCGUUUUCUCCUUAUUUUAUCAUGAUAACAAACACUACCUUUCUAUAUAUGUUUAUGUUGAUGUAAUUGAUGUGUAGGUUCUAGUGUAUAAAGUGCCCACCUUAACUAUUGAUGUAAUCCCAUGGAUAGUGCAACAUGAAAUAUUGAACAAUAGAAGGCAUGUCCUGACCAAGGAUAAUGGUGGUUCUGUGAAGCUUUGGGGGAUCACUAAAGGUGUUGUGAUUGAGGACUAUGGACAGAUUGCUUACACGCUGCCUUGGAUAGCUGAAAUACAUAUUAUCCAUUUUCUAUUAAAAGUUACUCAUUAUACCUCUCCUUUAAUGAUUUCCUUAUGCUCCCAUUUUAAUUUUUAUAUACUUUUUUCCAGGUUAAAAUUCUUGCAUGGUUUGACUGCAUAUACUAGGCUUGGAAGCAUUGCUCGCAGCUUUAUAAAAGAUCCGAAAGUUCUCACAUUCGUAGAUCCUGAGGUGGGCUUAUGAUCAAAAUUAGAAACUUUCAGGGAUCAAACACAGGGACUGUUUUUGUAAUUUACUUUUCUGUUUAUAAUGUAUGAUGUUAUUGUUUGCAGAGGACAUGAUUUUAGCAAAAACGUGUUCGAUGAACAAACUGUUAUUGUUUAUGAUUAGGUAUAAGUAUAACUACAUUUGAAUUUA